rnacentral:lncRNA from 1 species
GAUCCAAAACAGCGAAACCUGGGCUGCCAAAGCGGAGAGCACAAACUUAACCGCUACUACAGCAGUUCAGCCCAAACAAAUGCUACUUUUUUGAUUGCAAGAAGAAUGCAUUGGCUGUAGAAAAGUUGGAAAAUUCUUAACAAAAAAACAAAAAAAAUAGAAUGAAUACUGUUUUCCUAAUUAAUUUAGAAUGAUUUGUUACAAAUAUUUAUCUAAAUAUAUCUUCAAAAAUAUAUAAAUAUUUAUAAUAAAGAAUUUAAGUUACAUAAAUAUAUAAGUAUUUACCUAAAUAUAUAUAUAUUUAUACAUGUACACAUUUUUACAUGAAUAAAUAUACAAAUAAAUAAAACUAUUUUGUAACUAAAAUAGAUAUACAAUCAUUUAUUAUAAUUUAAUGAGUACUGUUCAAAAUCACCUAUAAUAGUUUGACCACCUGGAGAUAUAUCCAACUUUUUCCUAUGACUCUUUUCAGUUUUGAUAUAUUAUACAUACUCAUGCACAUAUGCAUAUUUUUACAGAAGUGGAAUCAUACCAUUAACUGUCCUUCUUUAUGUGGGCUUCUCUAAUGUUAAAUGCAAGUUUAGUCAAAGGGGGAUGAAUAGUCACCUCUGAGUGUCUGCUGCUGUACUAAGUAUCUCUGAAGUCUUCUACUGUAUCCUGAAAACCCAUAUGAACAUUUGCAGCCUACUGCAAAACACAUCUGUGCUUGUUUAAAUAAGAAAAUAACAUAUUAGCUACCAUUGAAGUUAUUGAAUUGGUCUUCUCCAAAGACAGGUGAAGUUGAUCUUCUGCCUUUAGCCCAUCUGAAGCACACCCACCACAGGUGCUGGGUGCCUGGGGUGACUGCACCCCACCAGAGAAGUGUGGCUCUGUAUCAUCAUUGUUCAUUGUUAACGGCCAUGUAGUAUUCCACUGAAUUGGCCUUGGACCCGUUUAUUGAACCAGUCCAUUAUUGGGAACAAUUAGAUUUUUUCAAUGUUUCAUCUUUUAUACAAACAGCAGCAUGAACAAAUGUUGGCUAGUCCCAUUUGUGGAUCUGACAUGAGGCCCAGAGAUGAUCUUGGGGAAUAAAGAAUUUAACCUUAGCCAAAGACAGCUCUGGCUUUUG